rnacentral:rRNA from 1 species
UGAGUGGCGGACGGGUGAGUAACGCGUGGGCAACCUGGCCUGUACAGGGGGAUAACACUUAGAAAUAGGUGCUAAUACCGCAUAACGGGGGAAGCCGCAUGGCUUUUCCCGGAAAACUCCGGUGGUACAGGAUGGGCCCGCGUCUGAUUAGCCAGUUGGCAGGGUAACGGCCUACCAAAGCGACGAUCAGUAGCCGGCCUGAGAGGGUGGACGGCCACAUUGGGACUGAGACACGGCCCAAACUCCUACGGGAGGCAGCAG